AAUAUAGACAUAGCCUGUUGCUGCUACUUUUAAUAAGAAUUGGUGAAUAGAUUGUCACAUGUACACAAGGGGAAGUCUGUCUUCAAGUCUUCUUAAUUUAUCCCCUCCCUCUAAGAGAAACAAGGGAAAAAAACCUCAGGCCGGUGAUCAAGAUUCUCGUACUUCUUCCCAUCUCACGUGAUUCUCAGAUUUUAUGCAGCAGCUGCCAAUGAUCAAUGGGUCCAAUUAUUAUCAUAUGCAGAUAUAGAGAAAAUAUUGAAUACAACCACGGUUAAAAACUACAUACAUCGAGCAAUUUUCAGAAACCAUGGGUUUGUUAAGUUGGAUCAACAUCUGCAGGAGAUGAUAUGGUCUAAUGUAUUCAAUAUUUUCUCUUGUUAUAUAAUAUAUGUAUCUACUAUUUUUAUACUGGAUGUAUGCUAUGAUGUUUUUAAUUCGAUUGAUCAAUUUACCUG